rnacentral:rRNA from 1 species
UCGAGAAUUUUUCACAAUGGGCGAAAGCCUGAUGGAGCGACGCCGCGUGGGGGAUGAAUGGCUUCGGCCCGUAAACCCCUGUCAUUCGCGAUCAACCCUUAGUAUUUAAAAGAUGCUAAGCUGAUAGUAGCGGAAGAGGAAGGGACGGCUAACUCUGUGCAGCAGCCGCGGUAAUACAGAGGUCCCAAGCGUUGUUCGGAUUCACUGGGCGUAAAGGGUGCGUAGGUGGUGACGUAAGUCGGAUGUGAAAUCUCGGAGCUCAACUCCGAAAUGGCAUUGGAAACUGCGUCGCUUGAGGGUCGGAGGGGGGACUGGAAUUCUCGGUGUAGCAGUGAAAUGCGUAGAUAUCGAGAGGAACACCAGUGGCGAAGGCGAGUCCCUGGACGACUCCUGACACUGAGGCACGAAAGCUGGGGGAGCAAACA